rnacentral:rRNA from 1 species
AACGAACGCUGGCGGCAUGCCUAACACAUGCGAGUCGAACGAGACCUUCGGGUCUAGUGGCGCACGGGUGCGUAACGCGUGGGAACCUGCCCUUAGGUUCGGAAUAACUCCCCGAAAGGGGUGCUAAUACCGGAUAAUGUCUUCGGACCAAAGAUUUAUCGCCUUUGGAUGGGCCCGCGUUGGAUUAGCUAGUUGGUAGGGUAAAAGCCUACCAAGGCGACGAUCCAUAGCUGGUCUGAGAGGAUGAUCAGCCACACUGGGACUGAGACACGGCCCAGACUCCUACGGGAGGCAGCAGUGGGGAAUAUUGGACAAUGGGCGAAAGCCUGAUCCAGCAAUGCCGCGUGAGUGAUGAAGGCCCUAGGGUUGUAAAGCUCUUUUACCCGGGAUGAUAAUGACAGUACCGGGAGAAUAAGCUCCGGCUAACUCCGUG